GUUUAAACUCCCAAUCGCAAUAGCUACUCCCUUCUAGCAAAUCCUAAAAGAGAUGGCCAAUCAAGAACUAGGUCAAAUUCCUUUGCGGUUAAACAAUAUGGUUGCGAAGGUAAAGAUGGUGUGCACACAGGUGGUGCAGCACAGAUUUAUUUGGAAGCAGGACAACACUAGGAGUCAUAAUGGGAGACAAUGGUGGGUGGGUCAAUUUCAGCUGGGAGAACAUAAAGAUUUUUU
rnacentral:misc_RNA from 1 species